rnacentral:rRNA from 1 species
UACGUAGGGCGCAAGCGUUAUCCGGAAUUAUUGGGCGUAAAGAGCUCGUAGGCGGUUUGUCGCGUCUGCCGUGAAAGUCCGGGGCUCAACUCCGGAUCUGCGGUGGGUACGGGCAGACUAGAGUGAUGUAGGGGAGACUGGAAUUCCUGGUGUAGCGGUGAAACGCGCAGAUAUCAGGAGGAACACCUGAGGUGAAGACGGGUUGCUGGGCCAACACUGACGCUGAGGCGCGAAAGCCAGGGGAGCAAACGGG